CUUUUAUUUUUGGCCAUUAUUCAGCAUUAUUUGAGGAUCAGGUGUGCUGCAUAAGCACCAGUUUUUUGGCGAACUCUCUUGUUCAAUAAAACUCAAAUGAAUUUGAAUAUCAUUCAGAUCCCUUCAUGAAAGGUCCUGAAAUAGCUUUACAGCCUUUACUUUUACUACUUUCACCCCCAACUCCUAAUGUACCCGUUCCCUACCUCUCUUCUUUCAGCCAACCUGUAUUUUCAUGCUCAGUGCUUUUGCCCAGAUUUCGUUUUUCCCUUAACACUUUGCUCCCCAUUCUGUACCUAUCAGAACUCUCAUUUUUCAGUGGCCUGUGCCAUGAAGACAUCCUUGGUUUUCCUCAGGGACAAUUAUUCCUAAUUUUGUCUGUGCUC
rnacentral:lncRNA from 1 species